UCCGACUUAACGUCGGCAGUCUCAUUAGAGUGCCCUUGCGUAGCAACUAAUGAUAAGGGUUGCGCUCGUUGCGGGACUUAACCCAACAUCUCACGACACGAGCUGACGACGGCCAUGCAGCACCUGUGUUCUGGCUCUCUUUCGAGCACUCCCAAAUCUCUUCGGGAUUCCAGACAUGUCAAGGGUAGGUAAGGUUUUUCGCGUUGCAUCGAAUUAAACCACAUCAUCCACCGCUUGUGCGGGUCCCCGUCAAUUCCUUUGAGUUUUAAUCUUGCGACCGUACUCCCCAGGCGGAUGACUUCGCGCGUUAGCUGCGUUACUAAGGGAUUUAACUCCCCCAACAACUAGUCAUCAUCGUUUAGGGCGUGGACUAC
rnacentral:misc_RNA from 1 species